rnacentral:tRNA from 1 species
GGAGAGGUGCCAGAGUGGUUGAAUGGGCCAGUCUCGAAAACUGGAAUACGGGCAACUGUAUCGGGGGUUCGAAUCCGCCCCUCUCCGCCA